rnacentral:rRNA from 1 species
GAUGAACGCUGGCUACAGGCUUAACACAUGCAAGUCGAGCGGAAACGACGGGGAAGCUUGCUUCCCGGGCGUCGACCGGCGCACGGUUGCGCAACGCGUACCCAACCUGCCCCUGAGUGAGGGUUCACGCGUCGAAAGUCAGCCUAAUACCUCAUCGCAUCGUCUGCGGGCAUCCUACGACGAUUACAGAUUUUCUCGGUCAGAGAUGGGGAUGCGUAUGUUUAGCUUGUUGGCGGGGUAACGGCCCACCAAGGCGACGAUCAGUAGGGGUUCUGAGAGGAAGGUCCCCCACAUUGGAACUGAGACACGGGCCAAACUCCUACGGGAGGCAGCAGUGGGGAAUAUUGGUCAAUGGGCGAGAGACUGAACCAGCCAAGCAGCGUGCAGGAUGACGGCCCUCUGGGUUGUAAACUGCUUUUAUGCGGGGAUAAAGUGCGCGACGUGGCCUUAAUGGCAGUAACCGCAUAAAUAAGGACCGCCUAAUACCGU